AGACAAUCCAUUACUGUGGAACUGUUUGACUCUGCUUGCAUCCAAUAGCAUUAUUGGAGUAUGAUGGUUAAUAUUGGGUCUUUACACUUAUGUACCUUAAAUAAAAAAUGAUCCUAGAUACAAGGUACUGUACAUAUAAAUGUUUAUUCAUUACAACAAAUAUAACUCCAAGCAGUUCAUUUUAUUUAAAAAAAAAUGUUUUAUUUGUAGCUCCCCAUCAUGUGACUUUGUGUACGAAGAAUUUGCAAGCAGGGUUCUCAACCCUGAUCAUUAGGGUGCACAGUCUAAAUAUGAAAAACAACUGUGGAACAAGGUUAUCUCGUCAGUUCUAGCAUAAAUCAUUAACGUUUUAGAAAAUACCACUAAAACAAAGGUCACUAAGUUCCCCCUGUGCUGACAGAAUUCUGCUGGCAAGGAAAUUUUAAUUUUAAUAAUUUCCUUUAAAGAUUGCCAAGCACACCUAUUCAUUUGUGUGCCACCUAGUUGGUAAGUUGUUUUCGACAGCUGUACACAGACUCUAUGAAUGAGUACGGAGCUGCAGAGGAGCCAGAGCCUGUCCCAGCAAGCAACAGGCACAAGGAGGGCUACACCCUGUGUGGGGCACCGGUGAUCAGAGGCCUUUCAUGACAUCACCACAAAAGCAGCCAGAGUCCUGUAAUACUAGGGUGACUGAAGCACAGAGGAAUGUAUUAUCACAGAGUGGUGAAAGAUCAGAAUAUUCCUGUUGGGGGGGGGAAGGAUGCACUCAGAAAACUGGAAAAACCCAUGUAGGAGAGAGGCCGAAUAACUAUACCCGUGAGCUCACAUUUUUAAACACAACUUUAAAAUAAAACUUAAGCCCAAAUCCGACACACUCUUUACCAAUCAAAGACAUUUCUACUCUCACCCUUGAGAUGCUCAUCUGAAAAAGCAUUUUUGUGAGAUUAUGUAUUUGAAACAUGGAGAAACCUAUAAACUAAUAAGAUUAAAUACUUCCUUCAUAAUGUGCUUUUUAAGUGGCACACAUGUGCAAUGCAAUAUUGGAUAUAAACUGAAUUAGAUUUACUUUUCUUGGCUAUUCGUAGACCAUCAAAAAUAAAUGUAAUAAAAAACAACCAUUGAUUUGAAGACCUGAUAUCUCUACAACAGAUUGAACAGCAUAAAACCUUAGUGAACGUUUAUUGUCUUUUGUAACAAGAAAAACUGUAUAGAUCUUACUUGGCUUAGCAAGGGCAGAGGUCAGAUUGUAUGAUUUAAAAUGUAGGUGGGGCAAUUAUUUUAAUCUGCCAUUUAUUCUUUUAUCAAGUCAAUAAUGUUUGUAAUAAAGAUGUUUUCCAAACUAUUAAAAAUAUGGUACAUGCACUUGGUAGAAAACAGUGUUGAUAGUACUUGGGAGUUUUAUUGCAGCUGUUUCUUUAACAAGCUCUGGUAGCCUGAUUAUCCCAGAGAAUGCCAUAUUUGCAAUUCCUCUC